CCUACGGGAGGCAGCAGUGAGGAAUAUUGGUCAAUGGACGAGAGCCUGAACCAGCCAAGUAGCGUGAAGGAUGACUGCCCUACGGGUUGUAAACUUCUUUUAUAUGGGAAUAAAAUGUUCCACGUGUGGGAUUUUGUAUGUACUAUAUGAAUAAGGAUCGGCUAACUCCGUGCCAGCAGCCGCGGUAAUACGGAGGAUCCGAGCGUUAUCCGGAUUUAUUGGGUUUAAAGGGAGCGUAGGUGGAUUGUUAAGUCAGUUGUGAAAGUUUGCGGCUCAACCGUAAAAUUGCAAUUGAAACUGGCAGUCUUGAGUACAGUAGAGGUGGGCGGAAUUCGUGGUGUAGCGGUGAAAUGCUUAGAUAUCACGAAGAACUCCGAUUGCGAAGGCAGCUCACUAGACUGCAACUGACACUGAGGCUCGAAAGUGUGGGUAUCAAACAGGAUUAGAUACCCCUGUAGUC
rnacentral:rRNA from 1 species